rnacentral:lncRNA from 1 species
ACGCUGGGUCGCCAAUCGUGGACGAGACCCUCUGCUUCCGCUAAAACAGCUAAGGUAAGAGACGGCUGUUACAGUAGGAUGGCAUGCAUAUGGGUUCACAAAACAUACUACAUGGGUGUGCAAGUCCUGCUGGACAUGCUCCAGCGAUAACAUACAUUACAACCGGAUGCGAAAUAAUCUUAUCAGUACAGGUUUUAUUAUUCGUCGCUGCCGUACGCACACAUACAUACAUACAUAUAUAUACGUAAUACGUAUGUAUAUAUAUACAUAUAAAUAUACAUAUAUAUAUAAUAUAUAUAUAACCUUAAAGUCAUAACAUGUGUAAAUCCAUAUAUGUAUGUACAUGUACAUACAGAAAAUGCAUGUAUAUGCAUAGAUCGGCAUAUAGUUAACAACCAAUGAAUCGCAAAGUUAUCAGGAAACAGCCUGCAUGUAUCAAAUCCCAGGCGACUCAUCUUUCAUUAAUUUUGUGACAUGUAUUGCUUAUGUAGGUGGCUGUAUCUGUGCACAUACAUAAUAAGAACUAUUACCACUGAUUCCGGUGUGUAUGCAUGCGUGUGUAUAUGUAUAUGUACAUAUCUAUGCGGUAGAGAUUUCUCCCUAAUUAUCAUAUGCAUAGGUUCUCUAGGUAAUCAAUUAUCCCCAUCAGUAGUCGUUAGCUGGAACAUUAGUUAGAACAUGCAUGGCCGCGCGCAGUCCAGUGCAGAGAGUCUCCCCGGCGGAUACACAUGUAUCCAUGUUAUUUCUGUAUAGCCAUUUAGAGAACGUUCCUGUCCUGAUAUCCUGUCCCGCGAUAUCGAGCGAGGUCUCCAUAGGCCAAAAGGGGGAGUUGUGGGAAUCGAACCCACGGNCUCUCGCACCCAAAGCGAGAAUCAUACCACUAGACCAAACUCCCACAUGCCCCAGCGCUGCGCAAUAUAAUAUGUCGUCUGGAACAGCAAGUAGGUCUGGAUCCAACACACAGAAGGGUUCUCCCUUAACUGGUUCUGGUGGCUGUGGAUUGGCUGACCCGAUGGUGCUGAACGGCGUGGUUUGGACGAUUUUGGCGAGAAUUGCACCUCUGCCUCGGGCCUUACGUAUACACAGCAGGAAGAGCAAACAGCCAAGCCUAACGGUGGCCNNNNNNNNNNNNNNNNNNNNNNNNNNNNNNNNNNNNNNNNNNNNNNNNNNACAUCGAUCUGAUGAUGCAUCGAUGCGAGCAUCGAUGCUCGCUCAGCAGCAGCUGUAGCUGCAGCGAGCCACACAUUGAUAAUCAACUGCAGCUGAUGAGUGGGUAGGUGUAGCAAGCUACAUUUGCCUUAGAAUAUCUNUAAGCUAUUAAAGCUUAAUCACAGUAACGGUACGGUCCCGUAUUUACGAACCAUACUCGUUAACUGUACGAACUCACUUUCUGGUACGCUAUCACAACCUAGCGUACGACACCAAGACUCCAGGAAUGGAGAUGGCGGCAGGUGGGCCGCAUUUAAGCCACCCAGGUGAAGUGCUUCGGCCAGACACUUAACGUAUCACUAUACUAGUGUUCAGGGUUCAAGACCUUGCUGUCACCGUUCUCGACGUAUGUCUUCGAAUCCCGACUUCCCUUGUCUCUUCUCACGCCUAACGCUGGGUCGCCAAUCGUGGACGAGACCCUCUGCUUCCGCUAAAACAGCUAAGGUAAGAGACGGCUGUUACAGUAGGAUGGCAUGCAUAUGGGUUCACAAAACAUACUACAUGGGUGUGCAAGUCCUGCUGGACAUGCUCCAGCGAUAACAUACAUUACAACCGGAUGCGAAAUAAUCUUAUCAGUACAGGUUUUAUUAUUCGUCGCUGCCGUACGCACACAUACAUACAUACAUAUAUAUACGUAAUACGUAUGUAUAUAUAUACAUAUAAAUAUACAUAUAUAUAUAAUACCUUAAAGUCAUAACAUGUGUAAAUCCAUAUAUGUAUGUACAUGUACAUACAGAAAAUGCAUGUAUAUGCAUAGAUCGGCAUAUAGUUAACAACCAAUGAAUCGCAAAGUUAUCAGGAAACAGCCUGCAUGUAUCAAAUCCCAGGCGACUCAUCUUUCAUUAAUUUUGUGACAUGUAUUGCUUAUGUAGGUGGCUGUAUCUGUGCACAUACAUAAUAAGAACUAUUACCACUGAUUCCGGUGUGUAUGCAUGCGUGUGUAUAUGUAUAUGUACAUAUCUAUGCGGUAGAGAUUUCUCCCUAAUUAUCAUAUGCAUAGGUUCUCUAGGUAAUCAAUUAUCC